UGCCCCAUUAGCUUUCUGGGAUUCCUUAUUCUGUGAAGUUUGGAAAACAGAGUCUUCAAAGAGAAAGAACUAAAGCUGAUGGAGGCCAAGCAGCAAGAUGAGAGACCACAUAACCCCAGUGAAGGAGUAGAUUCCUUGUUCCAGAUGUUGGCAAGUGCCUGGUCUAGUCGCAGAUGCAUCUGGCCCUUGAGUUUUGCAACAAGCCUCUGUAUCCUUAAAAUAAAAUGCCAUCUUUUUAAAAGUAAACUAGCUCGAGGGUUACUAUUACUUGUGAUAUGGUUUGUAUAUUUGUCCCCACCCAAAUCUCAUGUUGAAUUGUAAUCCGUAAUGCUGGAGGUAGGGCCCAAUGGGAGGUGUUUGGAUCAUGAGUGGCUUGGGCCAUCCCUUUGGCAAUAAAUGAGCAUUCUCUCUGAGUUCACAGGGGAGCUGGUCAUUUAAAAUUGUGUGGCACACCUCAUCCUCCCCCACCAACA
rnacentral:lncRNA from 10 species